AUUUAGCUUGCUAGAUGGGAAAGUGGCGCACGGGUGCGUAACGCGUAUGCAACCUACCUUAAUCAGGGGGAUAGCCCGAAGAAAUUCGGAUUAACACCGCAUAAAAUCACAGUACAGCAUUGUACAAUGAUCAAAUAUUUAUAGGAUUAAGAUGGGCAUGCGUGUCAUUAGUUAGUUGGCGAGGUAACGGCUCACCAAGACCACGAUGACUAGGGGAUCUGAGAGGAUGACCCCCCACACUGGUACUGAGACACGGACCAGACUCCUACGGGAGGCAGCAGUAAGGAAUAUUGGUCAAUGGAGGCAACUCUGAACCAGCCAUGCCGCGUGCAGGAAGACAGCCCUCUGGGUCGUAAACUGCUUUUAUUCGGGAAUAAACCUACUUACGUGUAAGUAGCUGAAUGUACCGAAGGAAUAAGGAUCGGCUAACUCCGUGCCAGCAGCCGCGGUAAUACGGAGGAUCCAAGCGUUAUCCGGAUUUAUUGGGUUUAAAGGGUGCGUAGGCGGCUUAUUAAGUCAGGGGUGAAAGACGGUGGCUCAACCAUCGCAGUGCCCUUGAUACUGAUGAGCUUGAAUACACUAGAGGUAGGCGGAAUGUGACAAGUAGCGGUGAAAUGCAUAGAUAUGUCACAGAACACCGAUUGCGAAGGCAGCUUACUAUGGUGUCAUUGACGCUGAGGCACGAAAGCGUGGGGGAUCAAACAGGAUUAGAUACCCUGGUAGUCCACGCCCUAAACGAUGAAUACUCGCUGUUAGCGAUACACAGUUAGCGGCUAAGCGAAAGCGUUAAGUAUUCCACCUGGGGAGUACGCCCGCAAGGGUGAAACUCAAAGGAAUUGACGGGGGCCCGCACAAGCGGAGGAGCAUGUGGUUUAAUUCGAUGAUACGCGAGGAACCUUACCCGGGCUUGAAAGUUAGUGAAUGAGAUAGAGAUAUUUCAGUGAGCAAUCACACGAAACUAGGUGCUGCAUGGCUGUCGUCAGCUCGUGCCGUGAGGUGUUGGGUUAAGUCCCGCAACGAGCGCAACCCCUAUGUUUAGUUGCCAGCACGUUAAGGUGGGGACUCUAAACAGACUGCCUGUGCAAACAGAGAGGAAGGAGGGGACGACGUCAAGUCAUCAUGGCCCUUACGUCCGGGGCUACACACGUGCUACAAUGGAUGGUACAGAGGGCAGCAAGCUGGCAACAGCAAGCAAAUCUCAAAAAGCCAUUCACAGUUCGGAUAGAGGUCUGCAACUCGACCUCUUGAAGUUGGAUUCGCUAGUAAUCGCGUAUCAGCAAUGACGCGGUGAAUACGUUCCCGGGCCUUGUACACACCGCCCGUCAAGCCAUGGAAGUUGGGGGUACCUAAAGU
rnacentral:rRNA from 1 species